AUGGACGGAGACCGGAGGAGGGAGCUGGCCGCGAUCGCCCGGCCAGCGCGCGCGCAGGACAGCCCGGCGCGGCGUCUCAUCGCCUGGCUGCAACUUCUCUUCAAGGCGUUUGUUCAGAGGCAUAGCUGGCUGGCAAGGUGGCAGGUGGCGGGGCGCCCGGCGUUGCUGCUCCUCUUGGCCUUCUUGGUCCAGAAGAACCUGCGCCGCUCCUACCUGUCAUGGCACAAGUCGCGGUUGCAGCGGCGCGCCGCCGCGGCCGUCACCGUGCAGGCAGCCUUCCGGGCCAUGGCGGCUCGCCGCGACCUCCUUCUCCGGCGGCGGACCAGAGCAGCUCUGUACAUCCAGGCGCAAUGGCGCGCGCGCAGGGCGCUGUGGAGCUAUCUGGAGAUGAAGAGGGCCUCGGUGAUCUGCCAGUGCGCUUGGAGGCAAAGCAUUGCAAGGAGGCAGCUCGGCAAGCUCAGGCUGGCCAACGUCGAGAGGGAGAGGCUUGAUGAGCUCUGCAGGCUGCAUGAGAUGGUGGAUGUGCUGCAGCAGGCGGUCGAGGACGCGGAGGUGAGGGUCAUCGCCGAACGGGAGGCGGCGGUCAAGGCGAUAGCGGAGGCGCCUCCGGUGAUCAAGGAGACUGUGGUGUGGGUGGAGGAUGCUGACAAGGUUAACUCGUGGAACGCCGAAGUCGACCGACUCAAGGGGUUGCUGGGAGCAGAAAUGCAGGCCACCAUUGACGCCAAGAAGGCCCUGGCAAAGGCUGAACUGAGGAAUGAAAAACUGGCUAGGUUGCUUGGAGUGCAGGAGAUUAAGAACAAAACGCUGCAAGAUUCCGUCAAAAGGAUGGAGGAGAAAGCUUCCGACCUUGAAGCGGAAAACAGGAUGCUUAGACAGGCCGUUGCAUCGAUCCCUUCGGUCAAGUCACCAUCUAGUGAAAACCACAGAGCACAUGAUCUUCAGGCAACUCCAUUGAAUGAGAAAACAACAAAUGGUGCCAUUAAGCCUAUGAUAGUGGACAGGAACGGCGAUAUUCACGACGAUGACAAUGCUGAACUGCCUGCCUCAAAUGAUGCUGAAGCUGAGAAGCAGCAGCAGGAGCUGCUGAUCAAGUGCAUAUCUGAAGAUCUGGGAUUCUCGACCGGAAGGCCUAUCGCUGCAUACCUCAUCUAUCGCUGCCUGGUCCACUGGAGAUCAUUUGAAGAGGACAGAACCACAGUUUUUGACCGCAUUAUUCAGAAGAUAAGUGCUGCAAUUGAGGCGCGGGACAGCAAUGAAAAAUUAGCAUAUUGGCUAUCCAAUUCAUGCACACUGCUGCUGCUUCUCCAAAGGACACUGAAAACCAGUGGUUCAGCUGCUUCGGCGCGUCAGAGGCGAAGAACAUCGUCACUCAACUCACCAAAGGAAAACCAAGCUCCUGGUCACCCUGAGCGUUCAGUUUCCGAUGGGCGGUUGGUCGGUGCCCUGACUGACAUUUCCCAGGUUGAAGCCAAGUACCCAGCUCUUGCUUUCAAGCAACAGCUCACGGCAUUGCUGGAGAAGGUCUAUGGAGUGAUCAGGCACGACCUCAAGAAGGAGCUGUCGUCUCUGCUUGGGCUGUGCAUUCAGGCACCGAGAACAUUCGUCGUCAGCCCCAGAGGAACAGGCUCUCAAGGAACAGACAUGGCACAACAAGCCUCCAUGGCACAUUGGCAGAGCAUUAUCAAGAUCCUGACGAAUUCCCUCAACGUUUUAAAAUCAAAUUACGUGCCUCCAUUCCUGAUCUGCAAGUUAUUCACCCAAGUAUUUUCAUUCAUCAAUGUGCAACUAUUUAACAGUCUCCUGCUACGGCGCGAGUGCUGCUCAUUCAGUAAUGGGGAGUAUGUCAAAGCAGGGCUGGAUGAGCUGGAGCAUUGGUGCCAUUGGCUAACGGAAGAGUAUGCAGGUUCAUCCUGGGAUGAACUGAAGCAUAUUCGGCAGGCGGUCACGCUCUUAAUACUCGAAGAGAAGCACAGCAAGUCGCUCAAAGAGAUCACUGACGAUUUCUGCCCGGCACUCAGCAUGCAGCAGCUAUACCGGAUCAGCACGAUGUACUGCGACGACAAGUUCGGAACCUUGGGCAUCCCAUCAGAUGUCGUUGCGAGCAUGCGAGCCAAGAUGAUCGGAGGAUCGAACAGCCCAUCGGUGCAAGACGACAUCAACUCUUUCCUCCUGGAUGACGAUUUCAGCAUACCGUUCUCCGUGGACGACAUCGCCAGGCUGAUGGUGCACGUGGACAUAGCAGACAUGGAUCUGCCGCCGCUGAUCCAGGAGAAGAAUGGCUCCCCGUUUGAAGCAUGA
rnacentral:rRNA from 1 species